rnacentral:rRNA from 1 species
CUACGGGCGGCACCAGUGAGGAAUAUUGCACAAUGGGGGAAACCCUGAUGCAGCAACGCCGCGUGGAGGAUGACGCAUUUCGGUGUGUAAACUCCUUUUAUAUGUCAAGAAAAUGACGGUAGCAUAUGAAUAAGCACCGGCUAACUCCGUGCCAGCAGCCGCGGUAAUACGGAGGGUGCAAGCGUUAUUCGGAAUCACUGGGCGUAAAGGACGCGUAGGCGGGUUAUCAAGUCAGGUGUGAAAUCCUACAGCUUAACUGUAGAACUGCACUUGAAACUGGUAGCCUAGAGUAUGGAAGUGGCAGAUGGAAUUAGUGGUGUAGGGGUAAAAUCCGUAGAUAUCACUAGGAAUACCGAAAGCGAAGGCGAUCUGCUGGGACAUUACUGACGCUAAGGCGUGAAAGCGUGGGGAGCAAACAGGAUUAGAUACCCCAGUAGUC